rnacentral:rRNA from 1 species
AACGUAGGUGGCGAACGUUAUCCGGAUUCACUGGGCGUAAAGAGUGCGUAGGCGGUUCGUUAAGUCGGAUGUAAAAUCUCCUGGCUCAACUGGGAGGGACCAUCCGAUACUGGCGAGCUAGAGUGCAUCAGAGGAGAAUGGAAUUCCCGGUGUAGUGGUGGAAUGCGUAGAUAUCGGGAGGAACACCAGUGGCGAAAGCGGUUCUCUGGGAUGUUACUGACGCUGUUGCACGAAAGCGUGGGGAG